rnacentral:rRNA from 1 species
GACGAACGCUGGCGGCGUGCCUAAUACAUGCAAGUCGAACGAGUGGCGGACGGGUGAGUAACACGUGGGAACCUACCCAUCAGAGGGGGAUAACACUUGGAAACAGGUGAUAAUACCGCAUACUGGCGGAUGGUUCCGCGGUGCAUUAGCUAGUAGGUGGGGAAAAGGCGCACCUAGGGCACAAUCUCUAGGGGGUCUGAGGGGAUGAUCAGCCACACUGGGACUGGGACACGGCCCAGACUCUUACGGGAGUCAGCGGGGGGGAAUAUUGCACAAGGGGCGCAGGCCGGAUGCGGCCAUGCGUGGUGUAGGAAGAGGGCCUUGGGGUUUUAAAGUACUUUCAGCGGGGAGGCGUUACCCGAAGAGGAAGCACCGGCUAACUCCGUGCCAGCAGCCGCGGUAAUAC